rnacentral:rRNA from 1 species
UGCGUAGGCGGGUCUUUAAGUCAGGGGUGAAAUCCUGGAGCUCAACUCCAGAACUGCCUUUGAUACUGAGGAUCUUGAGUUCGGGAGAGGUGAGUGGAACUGCGAGUGUAGAGGUGAAAUUCGUAGAUAUUCGCAAGAACACCAGUGGCGAAGGCGGCUCACUGGCCCGAUACUGACGCUGAGGCACGAAAAGCGUGGGGAGCAAACA